rnacentral:rRNA from 1 species
AAUGACGCUACGGGGAUGCUUCCACCCUCCCAAGUUGAACGGCAGCGCGGACUUCGGUCUGGCGGCGAGUGGCGAACGGGUGAGUAAUGUAUCGGAACGUACCCAGUAGCGGGGGAUAACUACUCGAAAGAGUAGCUAAUACCGCAUACGCCCUACGGGGGAAAGGGGGGGAUCUUAGGACCUCUCACUAUUGGAGCGGCCGAUAUCGGAUUAGCUAGUUGGUGAGGUAAAGGCUCACCAAGGCGACGAUCCGUAGCUGGUUUGAGAGGACGACCAGCCACACUGGGACUGAGACACGGCCCAGACUCCUACGGGAGGCAGCAGUGGGGAAUUUUGGACAAUGGGGGCAACCCUGAUCCAGCCAUCCCGCGUGUGCGAUGAAGGCCUUCGGGUUGUAAAGCACUUUUGGCAGGAAAGAAAUUGCGCAGGCUAAUACCCUGUGUGGAUGACGGUACCUGCAGAAUAAGCACCGGCUAACUACGUGCCAGCAGCCGCGGUAAUACGUAGGGUGCAAGCGUUAAUCGGAAUUACUGGGCGUAAAGCGUGCGCAGGCGGAUUCGGAAAGAAAGAUGUGAAAUCCCAGGGGCUUAACCUUGGAACUGCAUUUUUAACUACCGGGCUAGAGUGCGUCAGAGGGGGGUGGAAUUCCGCGUGUAGCAGUUGAAAUGCGUAGAGAUGCGGAGGAACA